rnacentral:rRNA from 1 species
CAAAGAAGGUAAUAAUCCUGUAGUCGAAAAUGUUGUCUCUCUUGAGUGGAUCCUGAGUACGACGGAGCACGUGAAAUUCCGUCGGAAUCUGGGAGGACCAUCUCCUAAGGCUAAAUACUCUCUAGUGACCGAUAGUGAACCAGUACCGUGAGGGAAAGGUGAAAAGCACCCCGGAAGGGGAGUGAAAUAGAACCUGAAACCGUGUGCUUACAAGUAGUCAGAGCCCGUUAAUGGGUGAUGGCGUGCCUUUUGUAGAAUGAACCGGCGAGUUACGAUUUGAUGCAAGGUUAAGCAGUAAAUGUGGAGCCGUAGCGAAAGCGAGUCUGAAUAGGGCGUUUAGUAUUUGGUCGUAGACCCGAAACCAGGUGAUCUACCCUUGGUCAGGUUGAAGUUCAGGUAACACUGAAUGGAGGACCGAACCGACUUACGUUGAAAAGUGAGCGGAUGAACUGAGGGUAGCGGAGAAAUUCCAAUCGAACCUGGAGAUAGCUGGUUCUCUCCGAAAUAGCUUUAGGGCUAGCCUCAAGUGAUGAUUAUUGGAGGUAGAGCACUGUUUGGACGAGGGGCCCCUCUCGGGUUACCGAAUUCAGACAAACUCCGAAUGCCAAUUAAUUUAACUUGGGAGUCAGAACAUGGGUGAUAAGGUCCGUGUUCGAAAGGGAAACAGCCCAGACCACCAGCUAAGGUCCCAAAAUAUAUGUUAAGUGGAAAAGGAUGUGGCGUUGCCCAGACAACUAGGAUGUUGGCUUAGAAGCAGCCAUCAUUUAAAGAGUGCGUAAUAGCUCACUAGUCGAGUGACACUGCGCCGAAAAUGUACCGGGGCUAAACAUAUUACCGAAGCUGUGGAUUGUCCUUUGGACAAUGGUAGGAGAGCGUUCUAAGGGCGUUGAAGCAUGAUCGUAAGGACAUGUGGAGCGCUUAGAAGUGAGAAUGCCGGUGUGAGUAGCGAAAGACGGGUGAGAAUCCCGUCCACCGAUUGACUAAGGUUUCCAGAGGAAGGCUCGUCCGCUCUGGGUUAGUCGGGUCCUAAGCUGAGGCCGACAGGCGUAGGCGAUGGAUAACAGGUUGAUAUUCCUGUACCACCUAUAAUCGUUUUAAUCGAUGGGGGGACGCAGUAGGAUAGGCGAAGCGUGCGAUUGGAUUGCACGUCUAAGCAGUAAGGCUGAGUAUUAGGCAAAUCCGGUACUCGUUAAGGCUGAGCUGUGAUGGGGAGAAGACAUUGUGUCUUCGAGUCGUUGAUUUCACACUGCCGAGAAAAGCCUCUAGAUAGAAAAUAGGUGCCCGUACCGCAAACCGACACAGGUAGUCAAGAUGAGAAUUCUAAGGUGAGCGAGCGAACUCUCGUUAAGGAACUCGGCAAAAUGACCCCGUAACUUCGGGAGAAGGGGUGCUCUUUAGGGUUAACGCCCAGAAGAGCCGCAGUGAAUAGGCCCAAGCGACUGUUUAUCAAAAACACAGGUCUCUGCUAAACCGUAAGGUGAUGUAUAGGGGCUGACGCCUGCCCGGUGCUGGAAGGUUAAGAGGAGUGGUUAGCUUCUGCGAAGCUACGAAUCGAAGCCCCAGUAAACGGCGGCCGUAACUAUAACGGUCCUAAGGUAGCGAAAUUCCUUGUCGGGUAAGUUCCGACCCGCACGAAAGGCGUAACGAUUUGGGCACUGUCUCAACGAGAGACUCGGUGAAAUCAUAGUACCUGUGAAGAUGCAGGUUACCCGCGACAGGACGGAAAGACCCCGUGGAGCUUUACUGUAGCCUGAUAUUGAAAUUCGGCACAGCUUGUACAGGAUAGGUAGGAGCCUUUGAAACGUGAGCGCUAGCUUACGUGGAGGCGCUGGUGGGAUACUACCCUAGCUGUGUUGGCUUUCUAACCCGCACCACUUAUCGUGGUGGGAGACAGUGUCAGGCGGGCAGUUUGACUGGGGCGGUCGCCUCCUAAAAGGUAACGGAGGCGCUCAAAGGUUCCCUCAGAAUGGUUGGAAAUCAUUCAUAGAGUGUAAAGGCAUAAGGGAGCUUGACUGCGAGACCUACAAGUCGAGCAGGGUCGAAAGACGGACUUAGUGAUCCGGUGGUUCCGCAUGGAAGGGCCAUCGCUCAACGGAUAAAAGCUACCCCGGGGAUAACAGGCUUAUCUCCCCCAAGAGUUCACAUCGACGGGGAGGUUUGGCACCUCGAUGUCGGCUCAUCGCAUCCUGGGGCUGUAGUCGGUCCCAAGGGUUGGGCUGUUCGCCCAUUAAAGCGGUACGCGAGCUGGGUUCAGAACGUCGUGAGACAGUUCGGUCCCUAUCCGUCGUGGGCGUAGGAAAUUUGAGAGGAGCUGUCCUUAGUACGAGAGGACCGGGAUGGACAUACCUCUGGUGUACCAGUUGUCGUGCCAACGGCAUAGCUGGGUAGCUAUGUGUGGACGGGAUAAGUGCUGAAAGCAUCUAAGCAUGAAGCCCCCCUCAAGAUGAGAUU